CUUAGCAAUUGUUAUUCGAAGUCAGGGUUUGUAUCAGUGAUUUGGAUUUUAUAUAAUAUAAUUUGGGCUAAUAAUUUUGACUAGUUUGUGAAAUUGGUAUAAAAUCUAUAAUUGAAAUUUUGAUAUUAUUUGGAUUAUUGGGUGUGCUAAGUGUAUACAAAAUUUUGUGAUAAUCUAAUGACAUGGUUUAGAGUUAUCUACUUUUUAGCACAAGAGGGUUUCAAAAGGUGGUAAUUUGAGGUUGGGUAGGGUUUCUAUGAUAUCUGAAGAUCUAUCAGUCGAAUUAAGGUGAAAAUUGG
rnacentral:lncRNA from 1 species